AUCAAGUGUCUUAAGGGCAU
rnacentral:rRNA from 1 species